rnacentral:rRNA from 1 species
UAAUACAGAGGGUGCAAGCGUUAAUCGGAGUUACUGGGCGUAAAGGGCGCGUAGGCGGUUAUAUGUGUGUGAUGUGAAAGCCCCGGGCUUAACCUGGGAAGUGCAUCGCAAACUGUAUAGCUAGAGUAUAUGAGAGGGUGGCGGAAUUUCCGGUGUAGCGGUGAAAUGCGUAGAGAUCGGAAGGAACGUCAAUGGCGAAGGCAGCCACCUGGCAUAAUACUGACGCUGAGGCGCGAAAGCGUGGGGAGCGAACAGG